rnacentral:lncRNA from 1 species
GCGUUUUUGACCUAUAGUACCCAGUCAUUAUGCGACAUUUUCAAGACUAUUUGAAGAAUAAAAAACUGUUUAAAAGUCUUAUAUGCUCGGUUUUUUGUAUGUUUUCCGAUGAUGCAACUCAUUUUUAUUGUAAUUGAAUACAAAAUUUCCCAGGAUAAUCAUUAUUGAUCACCCAUUUUCUCGGUAUUGAGCAAGUUUUUGCUUGGGAACUUUUUUGGUAGUAAUUACCUAUGUAUGCCUUUCAAAUAGACAACAUACCAAGUAAUUCCCACACGCGGGUGUCACGAAGCGAAAUAAUUUUGGUCAACGGCCCACGGCUUAUAUGCGGAAUUGUGCGCGCGGAGCGAAUUUUUUUGCUUUUCUAAUUAAUUCCAUCCAAAAAAUCACAAGACAAAGAAAAUUUCCGCCUAGUGGAAAACUGGCUUAAGAUAUAAAGUUUGUUCGUUCACCGCAACCAGGUAUAUCAAUCAUAUUUCGCUCGCUACUCUGGUUUAAAUAAAUUAUUACAAAGCCGUGGCAUAUAAAUAUGAGUCAUCAUGCUUUGAAAAGGGAUGACGGUGCCUAUUUGCCAGAGGAAUAUAUGCAUCUUCUUGGCAGGUGUCGUCAUCCCUUGGGUAUUUAAGAAGCCACGAUCGCAGUUUUAGAUCACCCCUGAUGAAGACACUAGACUGGAGUGUCGAAACGUUGGGUCUUGAUUACAAUUCGACUGGUCUUUGUAAUCAUUUAUUUAAACCAGAGUAGCGAGCGAAACAUGGCUUAAGAUAGUUUGGGAAAGUGACUUAUUCGGUCAAUUUGAAUUUUCUUUACAACGCAAUCAUAAAAAAAUAGUGAAAAAUUUCGUUGCAUAAGCGCUUUAAAUUUAGUUUACCAAAUAAGAAUAUUUAGUGCACGAAUAUAUAUUGAGAUAAGUUCUAGACGAUGUGGAAAACUUCGACUUCUGAUGGUUGAAAUUUGUAGGUUCCUGCCAGGAUGGUGCUUGCGUCGCUGACACCAGAUGGAGCUUGGUAGGUGGAAUUAAAAGUUGUGGCAGAAAACCAAUUCGAAGCAGCAUCAUGGGCUAUGUAUAUAUCAUGACCCCAUUCGCCAAAUGUUGGUCCAUAAUUAUUUUUUGCCAUAAUUGCGUACGGAGUAUUUUGAUUUUUCAGUGGCGCUUUAAAAGGCGGGAGAUUUUCUUUGUUGCGAAGAGAGAAUAUGAAGGAUCCUGGAGCUUGUCUAUACGAAACACCUGUUAUAAUGUAAAAAUACUGUUUUGACAUAUUUAACCAGAUUUAUAUUGAGUAUCGGCACAGUAGUGUUGCAGCCGCGGACGAAUUUGAAAAAUUUCAAUUGUUCAUGCAUAUAUAGUAGAGCUGCAAGGAUAAUAAUGAGUAUGAAAAAUGAUACCCCUAGAUUAGAAGCAAUUUCUGCUUUAGGGUGGGAAACUCUUGAGUCUCAACGAAGCAAGUCAAAAGCAAUUCAAAUGUGUAAAGUUUGAUUGGCUCCAAACGCACUUGUCAAUCUUUUUGUGCGUAAAAGUGACAUCAGAGAUUAUGCAUGAGCUCAGGGGCUCCACUACCUCUCUGCAAAUACCUUUUCCCAGAACUGAAAAUCUAAAAAAAAUUUUCUUAUGAUGGGGCGAAAUUGUGGAAUUCCUUACCCUCAGAUUUGUGUGAUUCGGAUUCAUUGCUGAUAUUUAGAAAUGGAAUUACUGCUCACAAUUUCUCGUAAAUUAUUGUAAAUAUAGUCAUUAUAGCCAUACUAAUAGGUUGAUUUUUGUAAAUAUUUUUAUAAUGAUGUAAUGAACACGCCCCUCGUGGAAAUCAGCGAAAGUUGACGAGGCUAGGGUGUUGUUUUUAAAUAAAGUUUACCUACCUACCUACCAACCUACAUGUUGCAUUUAAGCCACG